GAUGAACGCUGGCGGCGUGCCUAAUACAUGCAAGUCGAGCGAACAGACGAGGAGCUUGCUCCUCUGACGUUAGCGGCGGACGUGUGAGUAACACGUGGAUAACCUACCUAUAAGUCUGGGAUACCUUCGGGAAACCGGAUCUAAUACCGGAUAAUCUAUCGAACCGCAUGGUUCAAUAGUGAAAGACGGUUUUGGUGUCACUUAUACAUGGAUCCGCGUCGCAUUAGCUAGUUGGUAAGGUAACGGCUUACCAAGGCAACGAUGGGUAGCCGACCUGAGAGGGUGGUCGGCCACACGAGAGCGGAAACACGGUCCAUAGUCCUACGGGAGGCAGCAGUAGGGAAUCGGAGGCAAUGGGCGAAAGCCUGACGGAACGAGGCCGCGUGAGUGAUGGAGGUCUUCGGAUCGUAAAGCUCUGUUAUUGGGGAAGAACAAAUUUGUAAGUAGAUAUAGACGUCGUGACGGUACCUAAUGAAAAAGCCACGGCUAACUACGUG
rnacentral:rRNA from 1 species